rnacentral:rRNA from 1 species
AGAAUCAACGCUGGCGGCGUGCCUAACACAUGCAAGUCGAACGAGAAAGUGGAGCAAUCCACGAGUAAAGUGGCGCACGGGUGAGUAACACGUGACUAACCUACCCUUGAGUGGGGGAUAACCUAGAGAAAUCUGGGCUAAUACCGCAUAAUACCUUCGGGUCAAAGGAGCAAUUCGCUUAAGGAGGGGGUCGCGGCCGAUUAGUUAGUUGGCGGGGUAAUGGCCCACCAAGACUAUGAUCGGUAUCCGGCCUGAGAGGGCGCACGGACACACUGGAACUGAAACACGGUCCAGACUCCUACGGGAGGCAGUAGUGGGGAAUUUGCGCAAUGGGGGAAACCCUGACGCAGCAACGCCGCGUGGAGGAUGAAGUCCCUUGGGACGUAAACUCCUUUCGAUCGGGACGAUAAUGACGGUACCGAGAGAAGAAGCCCCGGCUAACUUCGCGCCAGCAGCCGC